GCAGUAGAAGCUUUGCUAAAGCAAUGGUUUUGUAAGUCAUAGAUGACAUUAAUUUGUCUUACUGUA
rnacentral:tRNA from 1 species